UAUUAUAAUUGAUUUUAAAAUAUUCUAUAUAAUUGAUUUUUAAAUAUUUGGCAUUAGUAGUAGAGUCAUAGCCCGCGGGUCUCCGUAUGCAGCAACCUCCAAGUGGUGAGACCUGGAAAUCGAUAUUACUUGCGAUAUAUGAUAAAUGUAAAUAACGCAAGUACUGUCGAGCUAAUGGCUGCAUUUAUAUUCAAUCAAAAUUUAUUAUGUUCUAUAAUGAUUUUUUCCAUUUUUCCUUAUUGUCCAUUUCUUAUAUAUCAAUGGAAAUAUAGAUAGAUUAUUUUAUUAUUUAAUAUAUUCAUUAUUAUAUCUUUUUUUCUUUCUUUUUCUCUUUUCUGUUUUUUGCAAGAUGCAUGUGAAACUUCCAUAUAUGUUAAUAAUAAUAUCUUUAAAAAUAAAUCUCCUUUCUGAUUGCCUUAUUUUCUGAGUCUGCAUUAACAAACAAAUAAUAUUAUAAAAUAAAAAGAAAUAAUCAACGAUAUGUAUCCUUUAAUAAUAAUACAUAUUAUUAUAUUACCUGAAUUAUCAUAGUAUCGAUUGUGCAAUUGAUUGAUUAUUUUUAAUCAAGAUUUGAUCCUUUGAACUCAUGCCGAUUGAUAACUUUCGUCUUUGAUAUAAUGGAAUAAAUGGAGGAACUUAAAAAUUCAUUUACUAUUUAACAAGUUCAGAAUACAAAAGAAAAUUAAUUCACAACGAAAGUGAUAAUGAAAAAUAUAAGAAAUGCUGUGUACUACAACUUUUACUGCAUAUAAAAAUUUCUGUCAUACACUAACUUCAUUGUUAAGAUAUGCUUGAGAAAGCUAUAACUAACACAAACUUAUAGAUCGGUACAGUAGGUGCAUAAUGGAGACAGUGUUUCCCUAUUGCACUUUUAGUUCAUAUUUUGUCCAUACCUGAUGUAGUCGCAUACGCUACGAGCGAAAGUUGGUGAAUAGACUUCAGAAUUUCUGAAAAAAGAGGGGAUAAUGAGUUUAAGAAAACUGCGUCUAUAGGAAUGCCAGAAACACAACAAUCUUAAUAUAUAACUGGAUCUAAUGAAGAAAAACCACUUUUACUAACCAGAGAAACUCAUUUAUCAUAUUCAAGAAGAUAAAGACGAUAUCUCUCGAGCUAUUCGAUCAAUCCGAAACUCGAAUUCUUCGGAUUGUCGCGUUAUUGUUUUACAAAAAGGCAAACGUUGCUCAACCAUGAUUAUAAAAGAGCAUUCGCUAAUUAGCCGAAGGCACGAUGCGUGAAUCGCUGCGUCACAAAAAGAACCAAGGAAAUGACAACGAUGGAUGGGCAAGUUAAGUCGAGAAGAAGAAGUUUGGGGGUGUGGCGUUCACUUGGCCAGCUUGGUACAGGUACGCUCCAUUGAUCGAAUUGAGGAGGCAGCGACCGGGUGGCUAGUCCGCAGAGAAAAAAGAGAGGGAGAAAAUGACUAAGUGAGUGUGUGUGUAUGAGAAAGAGAGAGAGAGAGAGAAUGGAAGAAGGGCAGAAACGGGGUGGAGAAAAAGAGCCGCGGCCAUUCGAGUGGGACGAGAAUGGCGCGGAGAUUCUUUCGUGACUCUCUCUCACAUCAUUGGUCGUCUUCCUCCCCUUCCCCUUCCUCUUCAACAGCGGUCGUGAGAUUGACACUGGCGCAGAGAGAG